GUGCAAUGAUGUAUUUGUCAACACAUCAUUCUGAAAAAAAAAUUAUGUGAUGACUUCUGUGACUGAGCACA
rnacentral:snoRNA from 1 species